rnacentral:lncRNA from 1 species
AGAUGCCAAACUCCACAAAUCUCCUAAGAUGCAGAGGCUGAGACCUCCAGUGUAGAAGACGUGAUAUUGAGCCUGAGGACUCUGGAGACCCAAGAUAUCAGAUCCCCAAGACAUGGAAAACCAGGACAUUGACCUUGGGAUGUUGGAGACCCACAGUGCUGAAACCCAGGUAAUGUACUCUGAGCUCAGUGAUCCAAGAGAAAAUUUCCCAGCAGGCCACACUUGACAAGCAGGUGUCACUCAAUCAUGCACGUUUUCACCUCCCUGAGAGGACAGAUGGUCCCAGCCUACUUAGCAAUUCCAUCCUCUGUUGGCAGCCCCCUCUCCAAUGCAGUGCCAUAAUAAAGAUGCUCUGAG